rnacentral:rRNA from 1 species
UACGUAGGUGGCGAGCGUUGUCCGGAUUUACUGGGCGUAAAGAGCGCGCAGGCGGUCGUGCAAGUCGCGUGUGAAAGCCCCCGGCUCAACUGGGGAGGGUCACGCGAUACUGCUCGACUCGAAGGCAGGAGAGGGAAGUGGAAUUCCUGGUGUAGCGGUGAAAUGCGCAGAUAUCAGGAGGAACACCAAUUGCGAAGGCAGGUCUCUGGGCUGACACUGACGCUCAUGCACGAAAGCGUGGGGAGCAAACAGG